UACGUAGAGGGCAAGCGUUGUCCGGAAUCAUUGGGCGUAAAGCGCGUGUAGGCGGCCCGGUAAGUCCGCUGUGAAAGUCGGGGGCUCAACCCUCGGAUGCCGGUGGAUACUGUCGGGCUCGAGUACGGAAGAGGCGAGUGGAAUUCCUGGUGUAGCGGUGAAAUGCGCAGAUAUCAGGAGGAACACCGAUUGCGAAGGCAGCUCGCUGGGACGUGACUGACGCUGAGACGCGAAAGCGUGGGGAGCAAACAGG
rnacentral:rRNA from 1 species